GCCAAAAACCAAAAAAUGAAGCCUACAAUUAUAUAUACUCGGCAUGAUCAUCGAGAGAAAUCUGAAUUCACACUGUCGGGACAAGAAGGAUUAAUCGAUGUCACGAUAUAUAGUUCUUCAGUCCACUGAUCAUCUCCACACAGAGAGUUCAUAUGGCAGCGGUGACUGUGACAUCCUCCGGCACACGUGCUUUAGUCUUGGAACUGGCGGAGCUGAUAUAGUCUGCUGCAAGAACCGCCAUCUCCCAUCCGUGGAGCUGUGGGCAGUUGGCGAAGCACAAGGCAUUAGUGGGGGAGCUCCUGAUAAGGUUGGUGGCAACGGACCUGGCGAGGCUGCCGGAGACAAGGGUGGAGAUGGGCAAGCUGGAGGAUGCACUGAGGAGGGCGGCGGAGCUGGUGGUGAGUUACGGCGAGAAGAGCUACCUUUACAUGGUGGCCAUUGGGUGGGACGCCGUGUAUCAGUUCCGGCAGCUACAUGCAGAUAUUGACAGCUGCACGAAGGUCGUUGGUGCCAAUCAGUUAGUGGAGGAGUUUCGAAUGGAGCACUUGAAGGAGGCAUUGAAGGCGAUCGAGGCAGAUAACAGGGAGUACUCGCUCAAUGAUAUGGCAAUCCUCAAGCUCGACAGGACUAGAGAGGACGCCGAUGCUGUGGAGAAUGCGCUCUCCCGGGCUUACCCGGACCUGAGCCUCUGGGAUGCUCUAGAGGCGGAAAGGUCCAAGCUGCAGAUUGAGCACUCAAGGUCAGAGGAUGCAGGGCGCCGCCGCCUUAUCGAGCACCUAAUUGGAGUCACGGAUAGUGCAACCAAUGAUCGGCCGAGCAGGAAGGUCAAGAAGCUCUUGGUGAAUGAGCUAGCAUACGUUAUAUCAGGAUAAGAGUUUAAGGGAUUCAGUUUCAAAUUAAGAAUAAAAACCCGAGGCAUGAAACAUUUGAAUUUCAGGUUUGGAUUCUUUCUUUUUCUGUUAGGUAUAUAAGCAAUGUGAAUGCCAUGAAUGAGGGCAUCAGCUGGAAGGUGGUGGAAGCUCACGGAGGAGAUGAGUGGCAGGUGGAUCUUUUCGACUGUUGCGCCGAGCCCUGCUUAAGCUUAAAGGCAUGCAUUUAUCCAUGUGGCCUGUUCUCUUGAAUAGCCAACGCAGUGUCAAGAGGAAAAAUCUCACGAGAAGCUGCAGUCACUGGCCUGUUGGCCUACUCCCUCUUCUGCGGCUGCUGCCGUUACAGCUGCUGUGCGAGAAGGAAGCUCAGAAAGCUCUUCAACAUAGAGGGAGGAGCUUGCGAUGACUUCACAACCCACCUCAUGUGCUUCUGCUGUGCUCUAGUUCAGGAGUGGCGAGAGCUCGAGCUCAGGGACUUCGAAGAAUGCCAAAGCAGAAAAAUGAUUCCCCCGCCGUACCAAUACAUGAAGCCCUGAAAUGAACUCUCCAAGUGAUGUAUCACCCCGAGCAGAACAUCAGAGAUACACGCAUAUAUAAAUAUACUAGUGUACACGUGUGUGUGUAAAACUAGAAGUGCGUCUAUGCAUGUACAAAAGUAGAAGCGUGUGCAUACAUGUAAAGAGGGAUUGGCCGGUAUCAAGAGCUCGCCGUCCUUGCAGGGUAAUCCACAUUCCCUCUUUGUUCGAGC